UGCUUUGUUGACCACCUUGACCAUGCCCAAUCUCGUCAGAUCUCAGAAGCUAUGCAGGGUUAGGCCUGGUUAGUAUUUAGAUGGGAGACUACCUAGGAAAACCAGGUGUCGUAGGUG
rnacentral:rRNA from 1 species